AUGUGCACAGCACAGAUGUUGCAGGACAUGGAUCAGCGGCUGCAGGAGGAAGGGUUGGACUCCUCGGCCUCCAGCGAUGAGCGUCUGUCUCUGCUGUGGCAGCUUUACAGGAGCAGCGAAAGUACCGUGAGAUCCCUCAACCAGCAGAUACAAGACUUGCAGAAGGAACGUGUUGCUGAGAUUGAAAAUGUUCAGCAAUAUGUUAAUCAAAUUAAGAGUCUCACAAAGACCCGAGAUUCUGUGGCUUUACAUCUUGAGCAAGAAAACAAAACGCUCCAUGCUACUCUGGAUGACAUCUACCGACAACAAGAAGCACAGAGGAGUGAGAUCUCUGAGAUGCUACUUCAGGAAGGUCUGGCUGAUAUUAUUCCCAUCAGCCUGAGUGAACAGGUGGCGUACCUCCUCGCAGACAGAGCCUCCCUGCUGGAGAAAACACAAAGCCAGGAGAAUGUGGACGGGAAGACCGCACAGGAGCCUGAUGUCCGUAAGGAGCAAACGUCAAAGGAGUGUAGAGAGAAUGUGGUCAAAAGGGUGGCACCACCAGACAUUCAGAGCCCUUGGAAGAGGCUUCUAGGACUCAGAAAGGCUGCUCAGAGUGAACAGAAAUUACUGCCUCAGACGGUUGACCUGCAGUUCAGCAGGGAUGACACACUGAAGGGACGAACAUUGCAGGAACUGGAGCGAGAUGUAGAAGAGGCCUCUGCUCGACUCGCCAUGGCCCACAAGGAGAUCCGCAGACUCACGGAUGAGCUGGAGUCUGCUCACCUGACCCAAAAGGCUUAUGAACCAGAGCUGCAAGAAGCUCAAAUGGAAGUUGAGCACCUCCGUCAUGAAGUGGAGAAACUGAAACGCUGUGGUAUAAUUUAUUCGCCAUUUCUCUUUCUUUUGCAUCAUAUAGAUAACCUCUCAGUUGAACUCAUAGUUUGACUUUCUUUUAGUUAGAUGAAUUUUUUUUUUUUUUUUUUUUAGAAGUUGUGUAAUUGAGAAAAACGAAAAGGAUAAAUGAGAAAAAGGAA
ensembl:lncRNA